UGGGGAAUCUUGGACAAUGGGCGCAAGCCUGAUCCAGCCAUGCCGCGUGGAUGAUGAAGGCCUUAGGGUUGUAAAAUCCUUUCGCCGAGGACGAUAAUGACGGUACUCGGAGAAGAAGCUCCGGCUAACUUCGUGCCAGCAGCCGCGGUAAUACGAAGGGGGCUAGCGUUGUUCGGAUUUACUGGGCGUAAAGCGCGUGUAGGCGGGUCGUUAAGUUGGGGGUGAAAUCCCGAGGCUCAACCUCGGAACUGCCCUUGAUACUGCAAAUCUCGAGUCCGAUAGAGGUGAGUGGAAUUCCUAGUGUAGAGGUGAAAUUCGUAGAUAUUAGGAAGAACACCAGUGGCGAAGGCGGCUCACUGGAUCGGUACUGACGCUGAGGUGCGAAAGCGUGGGGAGCAAACAGGAUUAGAUACCCCCGUAGUCCCUGAGCGGGCUGGCAAGGCGCAU
rnacentral:rRNA from 1 species